CGGCCCAGACUCCUACGGGAGGCAGCAGUGGGGAAUAUUGCACAAUGGGGGAAACCCUGAUGCAGCGACGCCGCGUGGAGGAAGAAGGUCUUCGGAUUGUAAACUCCUGUUGUUGAGGAAGAUAAUGACGGUACUCAACAAGGAAGUGACGGCUAACUACGUGCCAGCAGCCGCGGUAAAACGUAGGUCACAAGCGUUGUCCGGAAUUACUGGGUGUAAAGGGAGCGCAGGCGGGAAGACAAGUUGGAAGUGAAAUCUAUGGGCUCAACCCAUAAACUGCUUUCAAAACUGUUUUUCUUGAGUAGUGCAGAGGUAGGCGGAAUUCCCGGUGUAGCGGUGGAAUGCGUAGAUAUCGGGAGGAACACCAGUGGCGAAGGCGGCCUACUGGGCACCAACUGACGCUGAGGCUCGAAAGUGUGGGUAGCAAACAGGAUUAGAUACCCUGGUAGUCCACACCGUAAACGAUGAUUACUAGGUGUUGGAGGAUUGACCCCUUCAGUGCCGCAGUUAACACAAUAAGUAAUCCACCUGGGGAGUACGACCGCAAGGUUGAAACUCAAAGGAAUUGACGGGGGCCCGCACAAGCAGUGGAGUAUGUGGUUUAAUUCGACGCAACGCGAAGAACCUUACCAAGUCUUGACAUCCCUUGACGAUGCUGGAAACAGUAUUUCUCUUCGGAGCAAGGAGACAGGUGGUGCAUGGUUGUCGUCAGCUCGUGUCGUGAGAUGUUGGGUUAAGUCCCGCAACGAGCGCAACCCUUAUGGUCAGUUACUACGCAAGAGGACUCUGGCCAGACUGCCGUUGACAAAACGGAGGAAGGUGGGGAUGACGUCAAAUCAUCAUGCCCUUUAUGACUUGGGCUACACACGUACUACAAUGGCGUUAAACAAAGAGAAGCAAGACCGCGAGGUGGAGCAAAACUCAGAAACAACGUCCCAGUUCGGACUGCAGGCUGCAACUCGCCUGCACGAAGUCGGAAUUGCUAGUAAUCGUGGAUCAGCAUGCCACGGUGAAUACGUUCCCGGGCCUUGUACACACCGCCCGUCACACCAUGAGAGCCGGGGGGACCCGAAGUCGGUAGUCUAACCGCAAGGAGGACGUCGCCGAAGGUAAAACUGGUGAUUGGGGUGAAGUCGUAACAAGGUAGCCGUAUCGGAAGGUGCGGCUG
rnacentral:rRNA from 1 species